GGUGAUAAAGAAGGCUAGUGAAAGAAAACUAUGGACCAAAUAAAUAAAUUGGUGGCCAUGAAUUCUAUUAAUAUGAGAAUCCCAUUGUAAGAACUCAAAAACCUAGCAAAGAUUCUUCUGGAAGCUUGCUAUAACCAGAAAAAGGACAAAUCAUCACAGUGAUUGAGUAGUAUCAACUUGGAACACAGCUGGUAUUCAUGUAUUUCAAGUAUGGGCCUACAUCACAGCACAGAAC